AGGCCAUGGUAUGGGCAGACUCUUAAUAGCUCUUUAUAUCUCUCCCAAGCUUCGAAAAGCGAUUCUCCUUGGUUUUUGAGCAAAUCUAGUUAUUUGGUUUUGAAGAAC